AAUCAACGCUGGCGGCGUGCCUAACACAUGCAAGUCGAACGCGAAAGCCCCUUCGGGGGUAAGUAGAGUGGCGUCCGGGUGAGUAACACGUGGGUAAUCUACCUCCGGGUGGGGAAUAACCAGUCGAAAGAUUGGCUAAUACCGCAUAAUGCAGCGGCACCUAAUGGUGAUUAGUUGUUAAAGCGGGGGACCUUCGGGCCUCGCGCCUGGAGAGGAGCCUGCGGCAGAUUAGCUAGUUGGUGAGGUAACGGCUCACCAAGGCAUCGAUCUGUAGCUG
rnacentral:rRNA from 1 species